rnacentral:tRNA from 3 species
GUGAGUGUAGCUCAGUUGGCAGAGCAUCUGACUGUGGCUCAGAGGGUCGCGGGUUCAAUCCCCGUCACUCACCCCA